UCGAGAAUUUUUGACAAUGGGGGAAACCCUGAUCGAGCGACGCCGCGUGGAGGAUGAAGGUCUUCGGGUUGUAAACUCCUGUCAUUUGGGAACAAGGUGCACAUGUUAACUGUAUGUGUAUUGCUAGUACCAGAAGAGGAAGAGACGGCUAACUCUGUGCCAGCAGCCGCGGUAAUACAGAGGUCUCAAGCGUUGUUCGGAUUCAUUGGGCGUAAAGGGUGCGUAGGUGGCGCCGUAAGUGGGGUGUGAAAUCUCGGGGCUUAACUCCGAAACUGCAUUCCAUACUGCGGUGCUUGAGGACUGGAGAGGAGACUGGAAUUCAUGGUGUAGCAGUGAAAUGCGUAGAGAUCAUGAGGAAGACCAGUGGCGAAGGCGGGUCUCUGGACAGUUCCUGACACUGAGGCACGAAGGCCAGGGGAGCAAACGGGAUUAGAUACCCGUGUAGUCC
rnacentral:rRNA from 1 species